UGGGGAAUAUUGCGCAAUGGGGGAAACCCUGACGCAGCGACGCCGCGUGUGGGAUGAAGGUCUUCGGAUUGUAAACCACUGUCGCGAGGGACGAAGCUCUGACGGUACCUCGAAAGGAAGCACCGGCUAACUCUGUGCCAGCAGCCGCGGUAAUACAGAGGGUGCGAGCGUUGUCCGGAAUCACUGGGCGUAAAGGGCGCGUAGGCGUCCCGGUAAGUAGGGGGUGAAAUCUCAUGGCUCAACUGUGAGGUUGCCUUCUAGACUGCCAGGCUUGAGCACAGUAGAGGCGAGUGGAAUUCCCGGUGUAGCGGUGGAAUGCGUAGAGAUCGGGAAGAACAUCGGUGGCGAAGGCGGCUCGCUGGGCUGUUGCUGACGCUGAGGCGCGAAAGCGUGGGGAGCAAACAGGAUUAGAUACCCCAGUAGUCCCUGAGCGGGCUGGCAAGGCGCAU
rnacentral:rRNA from 1 species